AUGACAAACUGGCAAAUGGAUAGAAACUAAACACAGGAAUAUUAUGUUAGCUGCUCAAACUACCUCUUCUCCUUUGGAUGCUGGCGUCUUUGUUCGUUUCUUUGGAGUUGGUUUCAAUUUGAAUGGCUUAUCAGAUAUUUCCAAUUUGUAUCCAUCAAUUUCGUGUUUCCUUUUUAGGACACUAACCAAAUCUGUAAUGAAAACAAGGCUGCAUGUAUUAUAAUUCUAUUUCAAUUAUUAUAUUACCAUUACGUAUUAGUAUUUUUGCACAAGUGAAUAUAACAAAUCCGUAUUGACGGAUCCCAAUUGACGUAUUAAGGUGGCUCCCUACAGUUUUCUAAAAUUUUAAG